rnacentral:rRNA from 1 species
AAAUUGAAGAGUUUGAUCAUGGCUCAGAUUGAACGCUGGCGGCAGGCCUAACACAUGCAAGUCGAACGGUAACAGGAAGAAGCUUGCUUCUUUGCUGACGAGUGGCGGACGGGUGAGUAAUGUCUGGGAAACUGCCUGAUGGAGGGGGAUAACUACUGGAAACGGUAGCUAAUACCGCAUAACGUCGCAAGACCAAAGAGGGGGACCUUCGGGCCUCUUGCCAUCGGAUGUGCCCAGAUGGGAUUAGCUAGUAGGUGGGGUAACGGCUCACCUAGGCGACGAUCCCUAGCUGGUCUGAGAGGAUGACCAGCCACACUGGAACUGAGACACGGUCCAGACUCCUACGGGAGGCAGCAGUGGGGAAUAUUGCACAAUGGGCGCAAGCCUGAUGCAGCCAUGCCGCGUGUAUGAAGAAGGCCUUCGGGUUGUAAAGUACUUUCAGCGGGGAGGAAGGGAGUAAAGUUAAUACCUUUGCUCAUUGACGUUACCCGCAGAAGAAGCACCGGCUAACUCCGUGCCAGCAGCCGCGGUAAUACGGAGGGUGCAAGCGUUAAUCGGA